AAUAAGAGACAAGAUGGAUGGACAACACCAACUUCUGCCAGUGAGCCCUUGCUGAACAAGUUUGGGUUCCAUACCUCUGCACACCACCUUUCUAUGAAGACUUUGGAGAAGCCAGCAACAAAUUAAGGACAUUUCAAUAAUGUACUGG